GGGUUUUUUUUUUUUUGAGAGAUAGGUAGCACGCUACCCGCUUCGUUUAUUUCAUUAAGAAAAAUUUACAUUGGGUUAAAUUUGAAUUUUCACUAAAAGUCUAUAUUUAAAUUUGCAUGUAAAGUUUCAGUUUAAAUUUAAUUUUUGGUUUGAAUUUGGUUCUAGAAAUAGAUUUGGAUUUGAAUAUUAAUUAUAAAUUUGAAUCUUUAACUUUUACAUUUAUGAUUUAGUUAGAUUUUAAAUUUGGUUAAAUUUUGAUUUGAAUAUUGAUCAUGGUUUAAUUUUAAAUUUGAAUUUGGAUUGUUAGAGGUUAGGAUUAGAAUUGAGUAUCGAUUAUAGUGUUUAUGUGGAAAACAUUG
rnacentral:lncRNA from 1 species